rnacentral:rRNA from 1 species
CUCCGUAGGUGAACCUGCGGAGGGAUCAUUACACAAAUAUGAAGGCGGGCUGGAACCUCUCGGGGUUACAGCCUUGCUGAAUUAUUCACCCUUGUCUUUUGCGUACUUCUUGUUUCCUUGGUGGGUUCGCCCACCACUAGGACAAACAUAAACCUUUUGUAAUUGCAAUCAGCGUCAGUAACAAAUUAAUAAUUACAACUUUCAACAACGGAUCUCUUGGUUCUGGCAUCGAUGAAGAACGCAGCGAAAUGCGAUAAGUAGUGUGAAUUGCAGAAUUCAGUGAAUCAUCGAAUCUUUGAACGCACAUUGCGCCCUUUGGUAUUCCAAAGGGCAUGCCUGUUCGAGCGUCAUUUGUACCCUCAAGCUUUGCUUGGUGUUGGGCGUCUUGUCUCGAGCUUUGCUGGAGACUCGCCUUAAAGUAAUUGGCAGCCGGCCUACUGGUUUCGGAGCGCAGCACAAGUCGCACUCUCUAUCAGCAAAGGUCUAGCAUCCAUUAAGCCUUUUUUUCAACUUUUGACCUCGGAUCAGGUAGGGAUACCCGCUGAACUUA